UACCUAUUGUUCUGAUGCGUCAACUGCCAAAGGAGUGUUCAGGUUAGCCUAGGUUAGCUAGUUGACUGUUCGUGGCAGAGCUAGCUAGCUCCAGUAGGUAUCGCCACUGCACAUCAACUUCCUGUAAAAUUAAUUACAAUGGGCGGAGUUCAUAAAUUUGCAAUGCCAAAGAACGCUUUCGUUGCCCAUGUUUGCUGAUGUUCUACAGGAGUUUGGGCCACAGAUGAGACUGAGAAGUAAUGUCUGUCUCAACAUAGUCAUCUUCAGAAUUAGAAUGGCACUGCUCUGAUAAUACAAGAUUGUGUACAUCAUCCUCUUCAAGUUUUCUGGAGAAUCCCAUUGAAUCCCCAGUUCUCCAUUUUCUCGCUUCCAUCCAUGUGUAGUGAGAGCUGAAAUAGGAAUUAACAAGGUGAGCACAUGCAUAAGUAUCAGGGUAUAAUGUGUGUACCUGGAAGGUCCAUGUCAUUUUGUGUUGCACUGUUCCACAUUUGAAGUACCCAUAAGCAUCUCUUCCAGUGUAGCGCCAGAGCUUCGGUAGAUGGUAAAUUAUGGCUUUCUGUAUCUGCCCUUAGCCAGAUAGUCUUUCUGAUUAUUUGUAACCAUUCUUCAUGGUGUUUAAGUGGGUUAACAAUACCAAUUGAUUGGUACAGAGCAAUUGGUGUAGGGUGUUCGAAUGCCGAUGUGUGUUUCUUAAAAUAUGCACAACCCACUAGACGUAAGAAUGAUAAUAGUGCUGAGGAGGUCUCAAGAAUUCCCAUGCUUCCAAUGGGUUGUCCGCCUGUUAUAAAUGAUGCAUACUGGAAAAAAGUUGUCAGAAAAGUAAUUUUUCCCACGCCAGAAAAAAAUGAGAUGUAGUCACAGCCAGUACUAACAUAAAUAGAUUGGAUAACUUGAGGUCUGUGUAAAUCAGUAAUGCCACUUAGGUCAGGGUCUUUCGAAAGGGCCUCAGCGAAUGCCUUAAGAUCAAUAAAUGUUCCACCUUUUUUGUAACUUUUACUGAGCUGUACAAUUAUGUGGUUAGUUGGGAUUAGGUGAAGCACUGUCAGACCUAUGUGGUAAACGUCUAUAUCUCUUGAAAAUACCAAUUUGUUUGUGCCGGCUGAAUGUACACAGUGUAACCAUACUCUUAAAUCCCCCUCAUCUGCAUCUGUCCACA